ACUCCUACGGGAGGCAGCAGUAGGGAAUCUUCCACAAUGGGCGCAAGCCUGAUGGAGCAACACCGCGUGAGUGAAGAAGGGUUUCGGCUCGUAAAGCUCUGUUGUUAAAGAAGAACACGUAUGAGAGUAACUGUUCAUACGUUGACGGUAUUUAACCAGAAAGUCACGGCUAACUACGUGCCAGCAGCCGCGGUAAUACGUAGGUGGCAAGCGUUAUCCGGGAUUUAUUGGGCGUAAAGAGAGUGCAGGCGGUUUUCUAAGUCUGAUGUGAAAGCCUUCGGCUUAACCGGAGAAGUGCAUCGGAAACUGGAUAACUUGAGUGCAGAAGAGGGUAGUGGAACUCCAUGUGUAGCGGUGGAAUGCGUAGAUAUAUGGAAGAACACCAGUGGCGAAGGCGGCUACCUGGUCUGCAACUGACGCUGAGACUCGAAAGCAUGGGGUAGCGAACAGGAUUAGAUACCCUGGUA
rnacentral:rRNA from 1 species